CGGCCCCAUGUCAGGAGGGAUUACCCGCUGAGUUUAGGCAUAUCAAUAAGCGAAGGAAAAGAAACUUACACCGAUUCCCCUAGUAACGAAGAGCAAAUUGGGAACAUCCCAGCCUUAGAAUUGGGCGGCUCCGUCGUCCGAAUGGUAGUCUGGAGAAGCAUCCUCAAAGGCAGACCGGGCCCAGUCCCCUAGAAGAGGUCCUAAAGAAGGUGAGAUCCCCGUCGAGCCCGGACCCUGUCGCAUUACGAGGCUUUGUCUACGAGUAGGGUUGUUUUGGAAUGCAGCCCAAAUCGGGCAGUGAAUUUCGUCCAAGGAUAAAUACUGGCGAGAGACCGAUAGCGAAAAAAUACCGCGAGGGAAAGAUGAAAAGGACAUUGAAAAGAGAGUCGAACAGUGCUUGAAAUUGUUGGAAGGGAAGCGGAUGGGGGCCGGCGAUGCGCCACGGUCGGAUGUUGAAUGGUGACGAGCCAGUCCGCCGAUCGACUCAAGGCAUGGACCAGCGUGGAUUAUGGGGGAGGCCAAAGCCUGGGCUCUCGAUACGCCCGCGGAACGCCGUCUCCCCGAUUAGGGAAGGCAGCGCGCGCCUCCGGUGUGCUCGGCAUCUGCGCGCUCUGGACUCUUGCUUGUGGGCUUCCCAUUCAACCCGUCUUGAAAGACGGACCAAGGAGUCUGACAUGUGUACUAGUCAACGAGCGAGUAAACCCGUAAGGCGUAAGGAAGCUAAUUGGUUGGAUCCCCUGAGGGGUGCACCGUUGACCGACCUUAAUCUUCUGAGAAGUUUUUGAGUGUGAGCAUACUUGUCGGGACCCAAAAGAUGGUGAACUAUGCCUGAGCGGGGCGAAGCCAGAGGAAACUCUGGUGGAGGCCCGCAGCGAUACUGACGUGCAAAUCGAUCAUCUGAGUUGGGAAUAGGGGCGAAAGACUGAUCGAACCGUCUAGUAGCUGGUUCCAUCCGAAGUUUCCCUGAGGAUAGCUGGAGCUCGUGUGUAAGUUCUAUCGGGUAAAGCCAAUGAUUAGAGUCCUUGGGGGAGCAACGCCCUCGACCUAUUCUCAAACUUUAAAUAGGUAGGACGGUGUGGCUGCUUUGUUGAGCCGCGCCACGGAAUCAAGAGCUCCAAGUGGGCUAUUUUUGGUAUGCAGAACUGGCGACGCGGGAUGAACCAGAAGCUGAGUUACGGUGCCAAACUGCGCGCUAACCUAGAUCCCACAAAGGGUGUUGGUUGAUUAAGACAGCAGGACAGUGGUCAUGGAAGUCGAAAUCCGCUAUGGAGUGUGUAACAACUCACCUGCCGAAUCAACUAGCCCCGAAAAUGGAUGGCGUUUAAGCGCGCGACCUACACUCGGCCGUCGGGGCAAGUGCUAGGCCCCGAUGAGUAGGAGGGCGCGGCGGGUCGGCCGUCGUCAAGCGUGGCAUUCCAUCAUAGCCCUUGGAAAAUAGACACGGUCGGACGACGUCGGGCGUGGCAUGCCAUCAUCGCCUUUGGACUAGCAGACACAGUCGGACAACAUCAGGCAUCGUAUGCCAUCGUCGCCUUUGGACUAGCUGACACGGUCGGACGACGUCGGGCGUGGCAUGCCAUCUUCGCCCUUGGGCAGCACAGACGGUCAGAAGGCGUCGGGCGUGGCAUGCCAUAAUCGCCCUUGGACAGCACAGACAGUCGUCCUACGUCGGGCGUGGCAUGCCGUCAUAGCCCUUGGACAGCACAAACGGUCGGUCGUCGUCGGACGUGCCUACACAGAACGGUUGACCGUGGCCGUCCCGCAUAGAUCGUGGCUUGCGCAACAUUGUUCGAUAACUAGACGAAACAUGCGUAUGUUCAUGACGUACAUGAAUCAAAGGAUUUUGAAACAACCCCCAUGCAUAACAAACAUAUUCAUCAAUUUUUUUAUCUAUUCUCUAACGGUUCCACCUAACGUGGCUCUUUCGCAUCAUUUUCAUUACUUCUACGGUUCGUACGAUAUUGAAACAUCUUUUAUUUGUGCAAAUAUGUAUCUUAUCAUUAAUUUGACAUGAUUAGAAGUGUUUUCGAGCAUUUCCGUAUUUUUCCAACUUUUAAGCAUUAUUUUAUAAUUUAUUUUUACGCUUUUUUAAAUUUUUUACGUCUCCUUUUAAAAAUAAAAACUUAUUAAAUUUUUUAUUUUAAGGUUCCCAUAUUUAUUUGUGAAUUUUCGGAGUUCAUUACAUAUUUUAUUCGAUAUUUUCCCUAUUUUUUAUUAAUUUAUAACUAAUUUUUCGGAAAUUUUGAAAAAAAUAAAAAAAUGUUAAAAAAUAUUUUAUAUAUAUAUAUUAAAGUCAUUUGUGAAAGCAUAUGUGUGUUUGUACCUUAGAACGUGCAUAUUUGGGUUGUACAUUUCUAUUAUGAUUCUCUGGAAAAUCAAUGUCUACUCCUGUUAUAUGGGUAAAACUUUUUUAAGCAUAUAUAAAAGGGGUAGAGGUGUUAGAUGCAGACUGAGGCGUAGGAAGGCAGACGGCAUAGGCGUCCCUUGGGCUUAGUAGGCGUGCUGCGUGGUCGCUUGAUGGCAUGCAUGGCUUGUCCAUGCUACGCCGUUGGGCGUUUACAAAAACACAUCGGCGACGUCUGCAGGGCGAUUGAGGCGGUGGCAGGCGGACGUCAUGGGCGUCCUGUGGGCUUAGUAGGCGUGUUGUUUGGGGCUUUAUGGCAUGCAUGUCUCAUUUAUGCUACGCCGUUGGGCGUCUACAAAAACAUGCUAGUGACGUUUGCGGGGCGGCUGAGGCGAAGGCAGGCGAACGUCAAGGGCGUCCUGUGGGCUUAGUAGGCAUGCUGUGUGGGCACUUGACGGCAUGCAUGGCUCGUCGGUGCUACGCUGUUGGGCGUUUACAAAAUACAUGCCCGUGACGUCUGCAGGGCGUUUUAGGCGGUGGUAGGCAAACGUCAUGGGCAUCCUUUGGGCUUAGUAGGCGUGCUGCGUGGGCGCUUGAAGGCAUGCAUGGCUUGUCCAUGCUACGCUGUUGGCCAUUUACAAAAACAUGUCCGCGACGUCUGCAGGGCGAUUGAGGCGGUGGCAGGCGGACAUCAUGGGCGUCCUUUGGGCUUAGUAGGCGUGCUACAUGGGCGCUUGACGACAUGCUUGGCUUGUCCGUGCUAUGCCGUUGGGUGUCAACAAAAACAUGCCAGCGACGUCUGCGGGGCAACUGAGGCGAAAGUAGGCGGACGUCAAGGGUGUGCUGAGGGCUUAGUAGGCGUGUUGUGUUGGCGCUUGACAACAUGGAUUGCUCGUCCGUGCUUCGCCGUUGGGCGCUUACAAAAACACGCUACCGAUGUCUGCGGGGAGACCGUGCUCCGCCGAGGGAACUUCUCAAGAUCGGUUUAUACUAGCGUUUGGUGUGGAAACGACAGUGCUUUCGGGCGAGUGGCGAGUUCUAGAUCUCCUGUUACAGCUAACUCUAGGCGUCGCACGCACGGCGCACGUAAGGCCAUAUACGGCCACAGGGCUGUCCAGAGACGUCGACGGGAGCCUCGGGAAGAGUUAUAUUUUAUGUUUAACAGCCUGCCCACCAUGGAAUCGGCUCAGCCAAAUGUAGGGUCCAGCUGCUGGAAGAGCACCGCACGUCGCGUGGUAUACAGUGUGCUCAGGGUGGCCCUUGAAAAUCUGGAGGACCGAAUGUCGUCCACGCCUGGUCGUACUCCUAACCGCAUUAGGUCUCCAAGGUGAACAACCUCUGGUCGAUGGAACAAUGUAGGAAAGGGAAGUCUGCAAAGUGGAUCCGUAACUUCGGGAAAAGGAUUUGCUCUGAGGGAUGGGCACGUGGAUCCCAGUCCCGAGCUGCUCCCACGGCGAGAGCGCGUCACCGCGUGCGGGAUUGGGGACGUACAAGGAACGGUUCCUUCGGGGGCCUUCCCCGGGCAUCGAACAGCCAACUCAGAACUGGUACGGACAAGGGGAAUCGCACUCUUUAAUUAAAACAAAGCAUUGCGAUGGUCCCAACGAAUGUUUAUGCAAUGUGAUUUCUGCCCAGUGCUCUGAAUGUCAAAGUGAAGAAAUUCAACAAAGUGCGGCUAAACGGCAGGAGUAACUAUGACUCUCUUAAAGUAGCCAAAUGCCUCGUCAUCUUAUUAUUGACGCGCAUGAAUGGAUUAACGAGAUUCCCUCUGUGCCUGUCUACUAUCCAGCGAAACCACAACCAAUAGAAUGGGCUUAGCAGAAUCAGCGGGGAAAGAAGACCCUUUUGAGCUUGACUCUAGUCCGACUUUGUCAAAUGACUUGAGAGGUGUAGUAUAAGUGGGAGCCGAAAGGCGUAAGUGAAAUACCACUACUUUUAAUGUUAUUUUACUUAUUCCGUGAAUCAGAAGCGUGGCACAACCCCUCUUUUUGGACCCAAGCCUCGCUUUGCGGGCCGAUCCGGGAAGAGACAUUGUCAGGUGGGGAGUUUUGCUAGGGCAGCAUAUCUGUUAAAAGAUAACGCAGGUGUCCUAAGAUGAGCUCAACAAGAAAAGAAAUCUCGUGUGUAAGAGAAAGGUAAAAGCUCGUUUGAUUCUGAUUUCCAGUACGAAUACGAAUCGUGAAAGCGUGGCCUAACGAUCCUUUAGACCUUUGGAAUUCGAAGCUAGAGCUUUCAGAAAAGUUACCACAGGGAUAAUUGGCUUGUGGCAGCCAAGCGUUAACAGCGACGUUGCUUUUUCAUCCUUCGAUGUCGGCUCUUUUGGUCACUGUGAAGCAUAAUUCACCAAAUGUUUGAUUGUUCACCCACCAAUAGGGAACGUGAGCUGGGUUUAGACCGUCGUGAGACAGGAUAGUUUUACCUUUGAAAAGCCAGUGGCGCGAAGCUACCGUGUGCUGGAUUAUGACUGAACGCCUCUAAAUCAGAAUGCGGACUAGAAGCGACGCAUGCGCCCGCCGUCCGCUUGCGGACCCGCAUUAGGGGCCUAUGGCCCCCAAGGGCACGUGUCGUUUUCUAAGUCGCCGCAACAUAAGCGUCGCGGUGACCGCCUUGAAGUACAAUUUCCAUGGAGCAGCGGAUAGAAUCCUUUGCAGAUGACAUAAAUACGCGACGGGGUAUUGUAAGUGGCAUAGUGGCCUUACUGCCACGAUCCACUGAGAUUCAGCCCUUUGCCGCUCCUAUUCGU
rnacentral:rRNA from 1 species